rnacentral:rRNA from 1 species
AGUGAACGCUGGCGGUAGGCCUAACACAUGCAAGUCGAACGGCAGCACAGUAAGAGCUUGCUCUUACGGGUGGCGAGUGGCGGACGGGUGAGGAAUACAUCGGAAUCUACUUUUUCGUGGGGGAUAACGUAGGGAAACUUACGCUAAUACCGCAUACGACCUACGGGUGAAAGCAGGGGAUCUUCGGACCUUGCGCGAUUGAAUGAGCCGAUGUCGGCUUAGCUAGUUGGCGGGGUAAAGGCCCACCAAGGCGACGAUCCGUAGCUGGUCUGAGAGGAUGAUCAGCCACACUGGAACUGAGACACGGUCCAGACUCCUACGGGAGGCAGCAGUGGGGAAUAUUGGACAAUGGGCGCAAGCCUGAUCCAGCCCUACCGCGUGGGUGAAGAAGGCCUUCGGGUGGUAAAGCCCUGUUGUUGGGAAAGAAAAGCAGCAGGUUAAUACCCCGCUGUUCUGACGGUACCCAAAGAAUAAGCACCGGCUAACUUCGUG